GACGAACGCUGGCGGCGUGGAUUAGGCAUGCAAGUCGAACGGUAUCAUCCUUUCGGGGGUGAGAGAGUGGCGAACUGGUGAGUAACACGUAGGUUAUCUACCCUCAAGACGGGGACAACCCAGGGAAACUUGGGCUAAUACCGGAUGUGAGCAACUUUUAGUUGUUUGAAAGGUGGCGUAAGCUGUCGCUUGGGGAUGAGCCUGCGUCCUAUUAGUUAGUUGGUGAGGUAACGGCUCACCUAGGCAAUGAUAGGUAGGCGGCCUUAACGGGUGGUCGCCCACACUGGGAUUGAGAUACGGCCCAGACUCCUACGGGAGGCAGCAGUCGAGAAUAGUCUACAAUGGUCGGAAGACUGAUAGUGCGACGCCGCGUGAACGAUGAAUCCCGUUCGGGUGUAAAGUUCUUUUAUACGUGAGCAGUGUACCUUUAUAAUUAAUAGUAGUAAGGGGAGAGAUAUUAGCGUAUAGAAUAAGCAACGGCUAACUCCGUGCCAGCAGCCGACGGUAAACUAGUCUACG
rnacentral:rRNA from 1 species